CAAAAACAAAAGCACAACAAAACCCUAAAUUUUUAGAAACCCAGCCCCAUCUCUGGAUUCUCUCUCUACCAUUGCCUCCCUUCUUCUUGCCUCUGCCAAGCACGAUCGGACCGCUGCCGCAAGCCGGAGCCGUACACGCACCAGCCCAGUCGAAUCGCCAGCCCUCGAAACGUGGGCCCCCGCGAGCUCGCAGCCGCACGCGCCGCCCAAGGCUGUCAACGGAGAUGCCGAAGUCGUCCGCCUGUGUGGGUUUCCGAAGUUUCACGGGCUGUUCCCAGCCACCCUGGGCCACCAUGAGCCGAACCACCAUCACCACCAUACUCCUCGAGUUUUAGGCUUCAAAACCCUAUGGAUAUUGGACCCGAACGUCGCCGGAGGUGUUCGCCGGAGUCGCGAGAGUCUGAGUGUUCUCGGUCUUGUUUCGACCACCACAGUGGGCGCUGAGUCGCACCACCGCGAUGUUUGAGUUCCCCUCAACCUCGACUUCAAAACCCAGGGGUUUGAUUCCUCAACCACCGCCGCUAGGGUGGUGCCGCCGCUGUCUUCGCCGAAGUCCAGCGUGAGCUUUGGCCAGCAAUGGUGUGGGGUGGCUCGAGGCUCGUUUUGACCUCUAAAUGUUCCAAUGCAGUUCGUAUCGCCCUCCUAAGUGUUGGGAUUGAAGAUUUUGGGAAAAGCUUGGUUGAUAGCUCUUGCUGAGUAAUCUUAUAUAUCUAAGGACCUGAGGUGUGGCUUGAUACUUGGACAUCUUAUGGGCUCUGAUCUUAGUAGCAAAGACUUUUAUGAAUAAGAUUUUCAGAAGUCCAGUAUUAUUGUAUAAGAUUAGUUAAUUUGACUUUGUAAAUAGUUGUGUUAUUAAAGUUCAAAUAUUUUUAUAUUUUUUGCUUUUUUA